AGAGUUUGAUCAUGGCUCAGAACGAACGCUGGCGGCGCGUCUUAAGCAUGCAAGUCGAACGGCAUGAGGAAGCUUGCUUCCUCAGAGAGUGGCGGACUGGUGAGUAACACGUGGGUGACCUACCCUUGAGAUGGGGAUAGCCAUUAGAAAUAGUGGAUAAUACCGAAUACGCUCUACGGACUCUGGUUUGUAGAGGAAACAGGCUACGGCCUGGCUCGAGGAUGGGCCCGCGUCCCAUUAGCUAGUUGGUGAGGUAAGAGCCCACCAAGGCGACGAUGGGUAUCCGGCCUGAGAGGGUGUACGGACACAUUGGGACUGAGAUACGGCCCAAACUCCUACGGGAGGCAGCAGCUAAGAAUAUUCCGCAAUGGACGAAAGUCUGACGGAGCGACGCCGCGUGGAUGACGAAGGCCGAAAGGUUGUAAAAUCCUUUUGCUGAUGAAGAAUAAGCGUGGUAGGGAAUGACCGCGUGAUGACAUUAGUCGGUGAAUAAGCCCCGGCUAACUACGUGCCAGCAGCCGCGGUAACACGUAGGGGGCAAGCGUUGUUCGGAAUUAUUGGGCGUAAAGGGCAUGUAGGCGGUUUGGUAAGCCUGAUGUGAAAUCCUGCAGCUUAACUGUAGAACUGCAUUGGGUACUGCCGAACUUGAAUCACUGAGGGGAAACUAGAAUUCCAGGUGUAGGGGUGGAAUCUGUAGAUAUCUGGAAGAAUACCGGUGGCGAAGGCGGGUUUCUAGCAGAUGAUUGACGCUGAGGUGCGAAAGUGCGGGGAGCGAACAGGAUUAGAUACCCUGGUAGUCCGCACCGUAAACGAUGUACACUAGGUGUCG
rnacentral:rRNA from 1 species